rnacentral:rRNA from 1 species
AUUGAACGCUGGCGGCCGGCCUAACACAUGCAAGUCGAACGAGUGGCGGACGGGUGAGUAAUGUCUGGGAAACUGCCUGAUGGAGGGGGAUAAAUACUGGAAACGGUAGCUAAUACCGCAUACCAUCGGAUGUGCCCAGAUGGGAUUAGCUAGUAGGUGGGGUAAAGGCUCACCUAGGCGACAAUCCCUAGCUGUGCUGAGAGGAUGACCAGCCACACUGGAACUGGUACACGGUCCAGACUCCUACGGGAGGCAGCAUUGGUGAUGAUUGCACAAUGGGCGCAAGCCUGAUGCAGCCAUGCCGCGUGUAUGAAGAAGGCCUUCGGGUUGUAAAGUACUUUCAGCGGGGAGGCGUUACCCGCAGAAGAAGCACCGGCUAACUCCGUGCCAGCAGCCGCGGUAAUUC